rnacentral:tRNA from 1 species
GGGCGAGUGGCGGAAUUGGUAUACGCGUAGGUCUCAAAAACCUAUUCCCGUAAGGGAUUGAGGGUUCAACUCCCUCCUCGCCCACCA